GAGGAUAUAGCUUAGUGGUAGAGCACAUGCUUAGCAUGCAUAAGAUCCUGGGUUCAAUCCCCAAUAACUCCA
rnacentral:tRNA from 1 species